GUAGUUGUUUAACGGCGCCCCCUUAAGUGUCUAUUUUUGAAAAAAAAUAGCGGGAAUUUCACACACGUGCUUUGCACGUGUGAUCCCAAGGGUUAAUUCGUCUUUUCCAGUACACUUUUAUCACUGUUCUACCUUUCCCUUUAUUACCGUUAGAAUCCCCAAUAUUCUUUCCUUUAUAAAUCAUUAGAAGCCCUAAUUUUCUGCUGCCCAUUCUCUAUUAUUCCUCUUCUUGAUUUGCCGUUGCUUCUUCUUCCAAUUUCGUUUUGAUUUGGUUUCAAUUUCAUAUGGACGCGACGUGCUUUUGUUCGAGAAGACCGGUCAUGAAAACUUCAUGGACUGAUCUGAAUCUAGGAAGAAGAUACACCAAUUGCGACAAGUUCCGGAAACCUGGAGGUUGUAACUAUUUUGUUUGGACUGAUCCUCCAAUGUGCGAAAGAUCCCGACAAAUUAUACCUGGGUUGCUUCGUAGGAUUAAUAAACAAGAAGAAGAGA